rnacentral:rRNA from 1 species
UAGUCCACGCCCUAAACGAUGUUGACUCGAUAUUUGGACUUUAGUUUGAGUGUCUAAGGGAAACCGAUAAGUCAACCACCCGGGGAGUACGUUCGCAAGAAUGAAACUCAAAGGAAUUGACGGGGGCCCGCACAAGCGGUGGAGCAUGUGGUUUAAAUCGACAAUACGCGCGAAAUCUUACCAAUUUUUGUAUAUUUUUUACAGGUGUUGCAUGGCUGUCGUCAGUCCGUGCUGUGAAGCGUUUGGUUAACUCCAACAAACGGACGAAACUCUUCUAUAUUUUAAAAUAUAUAUUGCUAAGGAUAUCUUGGAUGAAAGAAGAAUGAUGCCAAGUCCUCAUGGCCCUUACAAGCUGGGCUACACACGUGCUACAAUGGCGAUGACAGUGAGCAGCUAACCCGCGAGGGCAAGCUAAUCUCUAAAAGUCGUCUCAGUUCGGAUUGUUCUCUGCAACUCGAGAGCAUGAAGGCGGAAUCGUUAGUAAUCGCGGAUCAGCAUGCCGCGGUG